AUUUGUGUGCAAGCAAUAUAUGCGGAAUAAAACUACUGGAGAUGCAUCCGGUUUGCCAUUUAUAAGCGGUAUAUUAUUUUCAGCCCUCUGGUUAAUAUAUGGACAUGCAACGGAGUGCAGUAAACUAGUACAAGCAAACCUCGUUGGCUUAUUCUUGAUGUGUGGCUAUACUACUGUUUUCUACUUUUAUACGUUGAAAAAAGCUAUAGUCGUGAAGCAAAGUGCUGCAAUUUUUUUAAUUUUUAGCCUGUUUUUAUUUAAUUUGAACAACAUAAAACUUUACCAACAUUUAGGUCUUCUGUCAACUAUAUUUGCAACAUUGACUGUAGCUGAACCAUUGCACAAAUUGAUUUUUGCUAUCCAUGCAAAGAACACACAAUGCUUUUCAGUCCC